rnacentral:rRNA from 1 species
AUGCUAAGAAACCGGAGACUGAAUUUACCAACAUGGAAGGAUUCCUCAAGAGCACAUCAGCACCUGAAGCUGCUGCUGUCGCAGCUCUACAAUUUUUCUUCUUUCCGGACGCCCGACAGCCCGAGCAUGCAAGAGCAGCAGCACGAGCAGGUCGUGCUGUGCAACAUCAGCAGAGCGCUCUCAGUGCAGCGGAACUACUCGGGCGUCUCUGAUGACAGUAUAUUUGAUACUGAAGUUGAAGAUUAUAGCACGACAUUCGUACUAGUAAUAAUUACAUAUCAAAGAUGCCAUGAAGACAACUAA